rnacentral:rRNA from 1 species
UGCAGUCGACGGCAGCACGGGGGCAACCCUGGUGGCGAGUGGCGAACGGGUGAGUAACAUAUCGGAACGUGCCCUGGAGUGGGGGAUAACUAGUCGAAAGAUUAGCUAAUACCGCAUACGAUCUACGGAUGAAAGUGGGGGAUCGCAAGACCUCAUGCUCGUGGAGCGGCCGAUAUCUGAUUAGCUAGUUGGUGGGGUAAAGGCCUACCAAGGCAUCGAUCAGUAGCUGGUCUGAGAGGACGACCAGCCACACUGGGACUGAGACACGGCCCAGACUCCUACGGGAGGCAGCAGUGGGGAAUUUUGGACAAUGGGCGCAAGCCUGAUCCAGCAAUGCCGCGUGAGUGAAGAAGGCCUUCGGGUUGUAAAGCUCUUUUGUCAGGGAAGAAACGGUUCGGGUUAAUACCUUGGGCUAAUGACGGUACCUGAAGAAUAAGCACCGGCUAACUACGUGCCAGCAGCCGCGGUAAUACGUAGGGUGCAAGCGUUAAUCGGAAUUACUGGGCGUAAAGCGUGCGCAGGCGGUUGUGCAAGACAGAUGUGAAAUCCCCGGGCUCAACCUGGGAAUUGCAUUUGUGACUGUACGGCUAGAGUGUGUCAGANGGGGGUAGAAUUCCACGUGUAGCAGUGAAAUGCGUAGAGAUGUGGAGGAAUACCGAUGGCGAAGGCAGCCCCCUGGGAUAACACUGACGCUCAUGCACGAAAGCGUGGGGAGCAAACAGGAUUAGAUACCCUGNNAGUCCACGCCCUAAACGAUGUCUACUAGUUGUCGGGUCUUUAUUGACUUGGUAACGCAGCUAACGCGUGAAGUAGACCGCCUGGGGAGUANGGUCGCAAGAUUAAAACUCAAAGGAAUUGACGGGGACCCGCACAAGCGGUGGAUGAUGUGGAUUAAUUCGAUGCAACGCGAAAANNUUACCUACCC